CACAUCGUUUCCAUAUCAGCUCCUAUAUAAAAACAUUUGAUCCGUCAACAAGUGACAACCCGGAGGAAGAAAACGACCAGGGUUUACAGCCCAUCAGCAGGAAUGUGGAGGGGCGCCCCGGGUCCCCACGUGUUAGAGCUGCCGGUGGUGCUAGUGGUGGUGAUCCCGUUUUCUCCCACCUUGUGUUUUUUUGGGUUUUUUUUUGGGGGGGGGGGGUGAAAGAAUUACUUCCAGGGCACAACAACUCGUUUCCUCAUCACCCUAACCCCCCAGAACCUCUCCCCAGCCCCUCCACAGGCUUCCAACAGCCUCACCGAGCCCGCAGGGUGAAUGUGUUUGUGCAGAUGGCCUUGUAAAAUGAAGUUUUCCUACCAGACCCUCACUCUUUAGUCUGUAUCUGAUGCAGCUGCUUUGGGCCGUUUUUCACGUGAGGAUGCUGUGAAACCAACAGAAACUGGACCAAAACAGAUGAUGGAGAAACAGAAAGAUGGAUGAGGAUGAAGCGAUUUCCCAGCACAUAUAAAGAGCACUUCUUUCAUUAUGCCGUUGUUUGUUUAUUUGGAUUACAGUGUGACAGUGUAUGAAACCUCUCACAUGCAGAGAGUAAACACAACAGCAGCCACUCCCCUGCUACCGCACGCCUUAUCAGUCCUGAUUAGAUGACUGUAAGGGACGAGCACGCCAGAAGUUAUGAUUACAGGACACAAGAGAACGAUGGGCUCCCUGAAAUAAAGCCUCCACCAGGCGCUGAGCACAAACAUGUGUGUCUGGUUAUGGUGGCUGUGCAACAGUAGUCAGAUCUCCAACUGUCAUCCCAACCCUCCUCUCUUUCACUGCCGGCUCAAACACCAUCUUCUUACACACGGCUCAAUGCUGUGACUGUGGCACGUCUUCUUUCAGACUAGUGGAAAGAAAACAUCCCAAAUACACGAUUCAGGUGUUUGUUCUCAAUGUAGUGUAAGUGGGGAAGUUUCCUGGUGAUGCCUAUACUAUUACAUAAACCAAACUUUCCACUUUCAUUCAUAUCUAUAUUCUGAAGCUUUGUACAGAGGGCUUUGUUCAUACAUCAUUCAG